UCUCUCUCUCUCUCUCUCUCUCCGCUGCGGCCACCUCUAGCCGUACCUCCUGUCACGAGUUCCUCCCAUCUAACUAUCUAUCCUCUCCAAACCAACACCGAUUUAAUCCCGAGCUUCUGCAGUAUUUUCCAAGUAGGUGGAAACAGGCACAAGGGAAAACUUUGUCUGCAUAUCCAUAUAUUUUAUUUCCUUCAGUUAUACUUGCAUUUUACAGUGAGCUAAAGAUAGAUCCUACCGAGUAUCAGAUUUUACUCACAGACCCGCCUCUUAAUCCUUCGAAGAACCGUGAAAAAUGGUUGAGACCAUGUUUUAGAAAUACAAUUUUGUUGGGGUCUUCAUUCAAAUUCAAGCUGUAGUAACGUUGUAUGCUGAAGGUGCUUAUAGAGAUGAUUAAAGGUUAAAUGCUCAUGACGUUGUUUUUACCCCUCCGACUUCGUUUGUUUCUCCUUUUUUUUCCCUUCAUGUUAUUUGUACAAACAAGUAUGUCUUUUCUUAUUGUUGCACUUUCAAAUUCUUGGAAAACAUUGAUGGGGAGAUUCUACAUAUUUAUGUAAAUAGAUUCUACAUAUCUACACACAAUACUUACACCACAUGGUUAUAGUAUAAUGCAGAAUCUGGACCUGAAAAGUGAUGGCAUAGGUGUUCUGGCUGGAUUGAUGACUGUAAUCAAGGUCUCAGUUCAGCUCUAAUUGUGACUGUGGAAGCACGACAUUCAUGAAUUAUUUUCUUUCAAUUCCUCCUUAAACAUGAGAGGGCAUACUAGCAUAAGCUGUUUGGCACAAGAUUAGUUAAAAGUUAUGUAAUCGACUCAUUUUUCGUGUCAUUUCAUGAUGGUUGGGUGAAGUUUAUUUGGAGUGUUAUGAACCUAUAGUUCUGUUAUUUGAACUGCAGUAUAUAAACUUGGUUAUUUACUUCUCACGUCAUUGAGGCACAAAAGUUGUUCCUGCACUGAGU
rnacentral:sRNA from 1 species